UACGUAGGGCGCAAGCGUUGUCCGGAAUUAUUGGGCGUAAAGAGCUCGUAGGCGGUCUGUCGCGUCGGAUGUGAAAGCCCGGGGCUUAACCCCGGGUCUGCAUUCGAUACGGGCAGACUAGAGUGUGGUAGGGGAGAUCGGAAUUCCUGGUGUAGCGGUGAAAUGCGCAGAUAUCAGGAGGAACACCGGUGGCGAAGGCGGAUCUCUGGGCCGAAACUGACGCUGAGGAGCGAAAGCGUGGGGAGCGAACAGG
rnacentral:rRNA from 1 species